UUGAACGCUGGCGGCAGGCCUAACACAUGCAAGUCGAACGGUAACAGGAAACAGCUUGCUGUUUCGCUGACGAGUGGCGGACGGGUGAGUAAUGUCUGGGAAACUGCCUGAUGGAGGGGGAUAACUACUGGAAACGGUAGCUAAUACCGCAUAACGUCGCAAGACCAAAGAGGGGGACCUUCGGGCCUCUUGCCAUCGGAUGUGCCCAGAUGGGAUUAGCUUGUUGGUGGGGUAACGGCUCACCAAGGCGACGAUCCCUAGCUGGUCUGAGAGGAUGACCAGCCACACUGGAACUGAGACACGGUCCAGACUCCUACGGGAGGCAGCAGUGGGGAAUAUUGCACAAUGGGCGCAAGCCUGAUGCAGCCAUGCCGCGUGUAUGAAGAAGGCCUUCGGGUUGUAAAGUACUUUCAGCGGGGAGGAAGGGAGUAAAGUUAAUACCUUUGCUCAUUGACGUUACCCGCAGAAGAAGCACCGGCUAACUCCGUGCCAGCAGCCGCGGUAAUACGGAGGGUGCAAGCGUUAAUCGGAAUUACUGGGCGUAAAGCGCACGCAGGCGGUUUGUUAAGUCAGAUGUGAAAUCCCCGGGCUCAACCUGGGAACUGCAUCUGAUACUGGCAAGCUUGAGUCUCGUAGAGGGGGGUAGAAUUCCAGGUGUAGCGGUGAAAUGCGUAGAGAUCUGGAGGAAUACCGGUGGCGAAGGCGGCCCCCUGGACGAAGACUGACGCUCAGGUGCGAAAGCGUGGGGAGCAAACAGGAUUAGAUACCCUGGUAGUCCACGCCGUAAACGAUGUCGACUUGGAGGUUGUGCCCUUGAGGCGUGGCUUCCGGAGCUAACGCGUUAAGUCGACCGCCUGGGGAGUACGGCCGCAAGGUUAAAACUCAAAUGAAUUGACGGGGGCCCGCACAAGCGGUGGAGCAUGUGGUUUAAUUCGAUGCAACGCGAAGAACCUUACCUGGUCUUGACAUCCACGGAAGUUUUCAGAGAUGAGAAUGUGCCUUCGGGAACCGUGAGACAGGUGCUGCGUGGCUGUCGUCAGCUCGUGUUGUGAAAUGUUGGGUUAAGUCCCGCAACGAGCGCAACCCUUAUCCUUUGUUGCCAGCGGUCCGGCCGGGAACUCAAAGGAGACUGCCAGUGAUAAACUGGAGGAAGGUGGGGAUGACGUCAAGUCAUCAUGGCCCUUACGACCAGGGCUACACACGUGCUACAAUGGCGCAUACAAAGAGAAGCGACCUCGCGAGAGCAAGCGGACCUCAUAAAGUGCGUCGUAGUCCGGAUUGGAGUCUGCAACUCGACUCCAUGAAGUCGGAAUCGCUAGUAAUCGUGGAUCAGAAUGCCACGGUGAAUACGUUCCCGGGCCUUGUACACACCGCCCGUCACACCAUGGGAGUGGGUUGCAAAAGAAGUAGGUAGCUUAACCUUCGGGAGGGCGCUUACCACUUUGUGAUUCAUGACUGGGGUG
rnacentral:rRNA from 1 species